rnacentral:misc_RNA from 1 species
AACUUUUGACAAUGGAUCUCUUGGCUCUUGCAACGAUGAAGAACGCAGUGAAAUGCGAAAAGUAAUGCGAUUUGCAUGAAUCUGUGAGUCAUCAAGUCUUUGAACGCACCUUGCACCGUAUGAGCAAUUGUACGGUAUACCUGUUUGAGAAUCGUAAAACCCUAUCCCUACACCCUAGUGGUGCGGGGGAGUUGUCGGGUGUGCUGGUGCAAACCGGUACUCUGACUAAAAGGAUUAGGUCCUUGCCGGGCUGGUGGUCCGGGACAUUGUGUGCUAGAGACGUUUGCUUCGGCUGACUGUCUUCUCACAAUGCGUCCCGGGCUGUUAAGCUGGUCUGGCGUGGGACCUCUCAGUAGUCCUUUCUCCUUCACGGGGGAAAGGCUACAACCCCCCUUUUUGAUCUCAAAUCAGGUAAGGCUACCCGCUGAACUUAAGCAUAUCAAUAAGCGGAGGC